CCUCGCGUCUCCGCGGACUUGCGCCUCGGCCUCGGCGGCGCUGGCCCCGCCCCUCCGCUCCGCCUGCGUCGGCCCGCCCGGGGCGGGCCGGGGCGCGGGCCCAUCGGGCUGGCGCUCAGGGCAGCAGCCCGGCGCGCGCAGCAGCCAGCGGGGCCCCAGAGGAGGAGCGGGCCGCGAGGGGGUGCCUGUCUCUGCCUCCCCUCCGCGAAGGGAGCGGCGCGCGCCGCAGCCCGGCCCGAGAGGCCUCACCGCCCGCAGUGUUGCGCGCAGCCGGGACCUAGCGGCAGCCUGUGGUCCUAAAAGGCCCCACCCGAGCCGCGGGGCGCGGGGGUGCGGCUCGCGCUGCCCGCGGCUCCCGCCCCGGGUGGGGGGCGCUGCUGACCUGGCAGGGGCCGCGCUCCGGCUGCGCGGCCCCUUGCGCUCCCCUCCCACGGAGGCUGCAGCCUCGGGCGGCUUGCUUCCAGGGGACCCUCCCACAGGGGAGCAUUUCUUGUGCUGCUCACUCAGCGGGGAAGAUACCGUCACCAUGGUGGACUUCAGAACCCGUUUCCUCCCUUCCUGGAGCGGGGGUGCGGGGGGCCGGUGCGGGCGCAGCUGCAGACCACCGCCACUCCCUCGGAAGCUCGGAGAACAAAACCCGCGACAGUGACUGCGCCAACAGACUACCAACCCCCCGGGGGCUUGGCAGUCCACAUGCCACACUCCUACAUGCCCGUACUUAGGUGACAGCUUUUCCAGUCUUGGGCAUCCUGACCUUCUUCCCUCCCGGGCCCCUGCGCCUGUUCCAUUCCAGGUGGGGCUUCCUUUCAUCGUCUGGCAACUGGGAGGAGGAACAGGAGGCCCCUCCUCCGGCCUGCCCGGCAGUGAAGACCUCGGAGGUCAUCCUGGCCCAAGCGGUAGGGACGGCCUAACUCAGAAGCCCUGGCGCUCUGAACCUCACACCAAAACCCACCAUGGCUCAGGGGGCAGAAGGGUCCAGCCUUCCGUGGUCUGGGCCAUUUACGUCUGUCCUCAUUGCUCUUCUGGGGAGGCAGCUCUGCACAGACCCUGAUCCUGUGAUUCUGGAAGUGCUUCGCCAUCCACUGGUUUUUGGUUUGUCUUAUUUUUAACGCAGUAGAUCUUUCAUCUUUCCUGAGCCAGUCUUUUUCAGAUGUGAUGGGAGCCACAGAAAGCUCCGCAGACACACGUCCACGCAUGUCCACACACACUGAUCCGUUCGCCUGGGAUUAACUCUCCGCGUGGGUCAGGGGUUCUGACCACUCGCUCUAAGUGUUCAGUGAAAGCCUGAGGAAGACCAGAGGACUGGAUCAGAGGCUAAGGCAACGGAAAAACCUGCAAGAACCAGGAAAGGCUUUACAGGUCUGAGAAUGCGACAGCAUGUACAGAGGGCAGCGGGGAGGGGAAGAGACUGGAGGCAAGGAGGCGUCUUGGAGACCUCGCGGAGAUUUGCGAGGGAAGGAGAUGAGCCCGAUGGUAACGGGGAUGCACAGACGUGACCACUUGUGCAGCUGAGUCGCCGGAGCGAGGCCAGUGGUGUGCGGCCAGUCCGCGCAGCUGUUCUGUCUUCAGUCACCAGAUGCUGGCAGGAUUAAAAGAGCAAGGACACGCAGUAUUUCUUCCACUUUCCUCUCGACACCUUGCACCUACCCAGAUGGAAGCAGACCUUCUGCGACCUGUGGCAGGGAGUGGAAUUCUGGUGACUCUGCCCAGAGCAGUGAUCUUGGAGCUACUUGGACGGCCUGUGUACCUCCUCACUGGCACUCGCGUUUCCAGCGAGCCCAUGCGGAUGGCCACUGACGUGACGGCCACAGCUGGUCACCAAGCACAGAGAUGCACCUCGUGCAGGAUUUUGCAGAACCUAAGAUAUUUCAUAUCAACACUAAUUCCAUCUGUUGUGCGUGACAGGAAAUGGUCAGUUCUACAGUGUUUCAGGAACACACCCGAUGGGCGCAGUGAGAGCAACUCUGAACGUCUGGGACGGUGGCCUCUGAUGCGCUCCCACAGGAAGUGUUGAAGGACUGGACGUGGAACGGAGCAGGAUGUGACUGGAUGUGACUGAUGGAAAAAAGGCCCCUGAGAGGACGCCCACGUAACUUUUAACCUUCUGAAAGUAAAAGGAGUACAGAACAGGCGUAACUCUGGAAAAGAAAAUGCUACAGCACGGUGUCCACAACUACCCACUAACUCGGGCACACCUGCAGAACACAUACAGUCCUGACACCCGUGGGAGCUGCCUCCAAAGGAUAUGAGUCAUAGUCCAGUGUUUGUGUGAGCACUCCAGUUAGAACAAACUCCGCGUUGUGCACGUCUGAAAGGGACAAAACGAGCUCAAGGGGUGCUGUGUCUACACGCGCUUCGAUCAAGGGCAAGAGCAGUGGGACUUGACUUACCUAUUCCUCUGGCAAAAUAUUCUCGACAUAAGUGCAGGUCAUUUUCACAGGAUAUUAAAAUUAUUUCUGACAAACUCUAAGGAAAAGAAAAUGAGUUCAUCGGUUACUGAACAAGGAAUCUCAUCGGGCACAGUGAUGAAUCAGCAGCCUGUUUUCCUUCUAUCCACCUUAUUUUGCUUGUGCUCCACGAGCUUCCGGAAAGACGGCUGUUUAGACAACACUCGUCCUCCUGCACACUCCACAAUCGCCUUCAUGGUUGAGAGACUUGGGCAGAUUCCAGAAGUCCCAGCCCUUGCAGGUCCCCAACCUGAAGUGGGCCUGGAGGAAGCCAGGAUGCCGAUCUGAGCUAACUGAAGCAUUUUCCCAAGUCAGGUAAGACCCGGGAUGAGUCAAAGUAACUGGAACUCCUGUCCCUAAGAGACAUGAAGGAUUCUGUGGGGUCAGUGAGAACACUACUCCAUCCGCCUCGCUGUGUCAAGCAAGAGACCCCUCUCUUUCAGAUCUGUGUGUUCCCUGGGCUCUGACCAGGAGAUGAUCCUGAUGGCUAAGAUGUAACUUUCUAACGCCUGUUCUCUGAAGUGCACAAGAUACUAUUUUUUUUUAAACCACUCACAGAAAAAGAACAUUUAGAAAAUUCAGACUAUUUUAGUUUCAAAUGCCCCCAGCAUGGAGCGUGGUGCCGCGGUGCCCCCCAGGGAAGAGGCUGUGCUGUGCCGUGGGGACAAAGCACGAGUUACGACGGCUCCACUCAGGCUCAGCUAUGCCGGCUACAGCCAGCCAGGUCGUCAGUGGGAAGGAGCAAGGAGAGGUAUUAAUAGUGUCUUUAAACAGAGGCACAUAGCCAACAGGGUUUUCCAGAGCCUACGAGGGUAGGUAUCGAUUAGCUGAUGAAAAUGUGACCAGGGCUUGGGGAACCCAGCCCAGAGUUUCCUCUGGGAGCAGUGGCUCAGUGUUCACGAAUUUGGGGUCUGUGGCUACUCUGUAGAACAUGUAAUUACCAUGAAUAACAAGAAUUGGCUAUAUUAUUGUAAUUGAGAAUUUAUUAUUGAUUUUCAUAUAAAGGAUUCUUUCCUAUGAUUGACGUGGAUAUACAAUCAUGGAAUUUUAAGUUUGGUUCUAGCUUUGCUAUAAGUAAGAAGAUAACUUAUUUUUCUGGAUCGUAAUUUCUCAUCUGUAUAUUAGACUACAUGAACUUUAAAAUAUAUAUGCUUUUUAUUAAUUGUUUUACAUUAAAGACCGAAUUAGGUUUAAACACCAGUGUCCAAGAAAAUAACAUGGAUCUGAAAUGCUUCAAUUUAACAUUAACAACCACUUGCCCCUGUUAGGGACAAAUAUGGUUAGCUUCAUGGGUCAGAACAGUGCGAGGCCAGUGGGGACCAGGAGGGUCUCUGGGGGUCUGGUGGACCCAUAUCAUCCUACAGCUCCA